GAUGAAGAACGUAGCGAAAUGCGAUAAGUAGUGUGAAUUGCAGAAUUCAGUGAAUCAUCGAAUCUUUGAACGCACAUUGCGCCCCUUGGUAUUCCAUGGGGCAUGCCUGUUCGAGCGUCAUUUGUACCUUCAAGCUUUGCUUGGUGUUGGGUGUUUGACCUGAGGGACUCGCCUUAAAGUAAUUGGCAGCCAGUGUUUGGUUUUGAAGCGCAGCACAAGUCGCGAUUCAAGGCUAUACACCAGCUUCCACAAGCCUUUUUCACUUUUGACCUCGGAUCAGGUAGGGAUACCCGCUGAACUUAAGCAUAUCAAUAAGCGGAGGA
rnacentral:misc_RNA from 1 species